UACGAAGGGUGCAAGCGUUAAUCGGAAUUACUGGGCGUAAAGCGUGCGUAGGCGGUUUCUUAAGUCCGUUGUGAAAGCCCUGGGCUCAACCUGGGAACUGCGAUGGAUACUGAGGAGCUGGAGUACGGUAGAGGAAGGUGGAAUUCCCGGUGUAGCGGUGAAAUGCGCAGAUACCAGGAGGAACACCGGUGGCGAAGGCGGAUCUCUGGGUCUUACCUGACGCUGAGGCGCGAAAGCUAGGGGAGCGAACAGG
rnacentral:rRNA from 1 species